rnacentral:rRNA from 1 species
CCUACGGGAGGCUGCAGUGGGGGAUAUUGCACAAUGGGGGAAACCCUGAUGCAGCGACGCCGCGUGAGGGAUGAAGGUCUUCGGAUCGUAAACCUCUGUCAGCAGGGAAGAACGGUCACUGUGCUAAUCAGCAGUGAAUUGACGGUACCUGCAAAGUAAGCACCGGCUAACUCCGUGCCAGCAGCCGCGGUAAUACGGAGGGUGCGAGCGUUAAUCGGAAUUACUGGGCGUAAAGCGCUCGUAGGCGGUAUGUCAAGUCAAGGGUGAAAUCCCCGCGCUCAACGUGGGAACUGCCUUUGAAACUGGCAAACUGGAGUGUGUGAGAGGAUAGUGGAAUUCCAGGUGUAGGAGGGAAAUGCGUAGAUAUCUGGAGGAACAUCAGUGGCGAAGGCGACUAUCUGGCACAUAACUGACGCUGAGGAGCGAAAGCGUGGGUAGCAAACAGGAUUAGAUACCCUAGUAGUC